UAAUGUGAUAAAGGAGAAUGACAUGGUGUUAAGAAAUUAUGUUAAUGUAAUGGGCUUUAUGAAUUCACAAAUUAGCUGAGCACUGAGAGGGAUUGGAAUUAGAUAGGCAAAUCUCUUGAGGGGAGUAGGGCAUUGAUGUGUAAAAGAUUAUUCCUGAGAGUGAGAAUAGCAUGUGUAUGGCCCUGUAGCAUGAGGGAACAUAGUAAGUACGAGGCUUGUAAGAAGUAUAUCUAUGGUAAUGAUCAUGAAGGUGAACAAGGAGUGAUUUGAGGCAACUAACAAGGGUAAGGCCAAAUAUAUAACAGUCAGCAUAUUACAGCAGGCUGUCCGGCCAGCCGGCCCUCCGCCCGCGCCGCGGGGUGGGCAAGCGCCCCGCGGGGGUCUCGGGCUCCCAGCCCACUGCCACGCCUCCCUGCCACCCGCUAGGCGUCGUCCGGGGACGCCCCUCGCCGAGAGAGACCCUCAAUCACAAGUCACCCCGCCCUCCCCACCGUCCUCGCCGUGCCACGAAACCCCGCCCCCGAACCGCCCUCCCGAUCUCCGUGCAGUACCCCUCGCCCCUCGCCGGGAAGAACGCAGUGACUCCAGCAGCCCUGUCGGCUCUUUGGGCCCAAGGGGCGGGCGCGGCAGCCAUUGGCGGAGGCCGCUGCCUCCGGCUGUCAAUCCCGCGGCCCGGCCCCGCCCCACCGGCGGAGCGUGGCAGGACGCAGGGCCGCGGGGGCUGUCGGGACGGCUCCAAGAUGGCCGCGCGCUUGGGGUCCGCACCUGCUGGCAGCCCCGAGCCCCGUUCACUGCCACCGCUGCUGACCAGAGCCGCCGGUCGGCCUGGCGACUCCGGGGGCUGACCCCGCGGGGCGGGAGGCCGCCAUGGCGACCCUGGAAAAGCUGGCGAAGGCCUUCGAGUCCCUCAAGUCCUUCCAGAGGCCGCCACCGCCGCCGCCGCUGCCUCAGCCGGCACCGCAACUGCCGCCGCCUCAGCCUUCUCAGCCGGACCCGCGGCCUCAACCGCCACAGCCGCCCGCCCAGCCCCCUCAGCCGGCACCGCAGCCGACGCCGCCUCAGCCGGUACCACCGCCGCCGCCGCCUCAGGCCCCGCAGCCGGCACCGCGGCCUCAACCGCCACAGCCGCCCGCCCAGCCCCCUCAGCCGGCACCGCAGCCGUCGCCGCCUCAGCCGGUACCGCCGCCGCCGCAGCCCUCUCAGCCGGUAACGCCGCCUCAGCCGGUACCGCAGCCGCCUCAGCCCUCUCAGCCGGUACCGCAGCUUCAGCCGGUACCGCCGCCGCCUCAGCCCCUUCAGCCGGCACCGCAGCCGCCGCAGCCUCAGCCCUCUCAGCCGGUACCGCCGCCUCAGCCGGUACCGCCGCCACCUCAGCCGUCUCAGCCGCCGCCGCCUCAGCCGGUACCGCAGCCGCCGCAGCCCCCUCAGCCGGCACCGCCGCCGCCGCAGCCUCAGCCCCCUCAGGCGGUAUCGCCGCCGCCUCAGCCCUCUCAGCCGGUACCGCCGCCGCCUCAGCCCUCUCAGCCGGUACCGCCACCGCCUCAGCCCCCUCAGACGGUACCGCCGCCUCAGCCGGCACCGCACCCUCAACCGCCACCACCGCCCGCCCAGCCGUGGGUCAGGAGCCGCUGCACAGACGGUGUGUUAUUCUGGGAGAUCAUCAGGACUUCUGGGUAUUUGGAGGUAUUGACCUAACCAGUGGAACUGCUGAUUUAUAAGAAGUUGUCCAGAAUUUUGGAAAACUGAUUAGUAGAGGCUGGAGACCGAGAAGAACUACCAUUUUUGCCGGCUGGGAUGAAGAAAAAAUCGGACUUCUGGGUUCCACAAAUGGGCUGAGGUAACUAAGACAGAAAAUGUAUCUUCUUGGUCAACAUGUAACUCAGGGUAAUCACAGAUGUGUUCCAUUACCUGAUAUUGUUUUAAUUUGGAUAAAUACUCAAGAAAAUUUAAGAAAUAGAGUUUGUUUUUGCUUUUACAUCAGUUUGGCAAAACAAAACAACCUCUUAAUUACUAAGUACAAACCAAUUUUUUCAUUAUUUUUAAAAUAUUUUAGUUUCUGUUUAUAUUUGUUUUGUGAUAAGUAAAAUCUGUAAGCUCAGAAAAUAGUCAAACCUAGGAAGCUGCUUCUGACAAGUGAAUUAUCUUAUUGAAAAUCUGAUAUAGAUCCUUGGCAUUAAUUUUCAAGUUUUUACAUUUUCCUUGGAUUUCUUCUAUCUAGGAAAACAACAUGCUCUUUUAAGAUGAGUAUACUCUGAUUAUAGUCUCUCCUUUAUGGAUUCCAUACUAAAUUGUAACCAUACGUAUAUUUUACCAUUUACAAAAGUGCCUGAUUGGGAAGUAUAAUACAUUGAUUUUGUAAAUUGAAUUACUCUAAAAUUUCAAGGAUUUAUUUUUAAUUCAAUUAUGAUUUAAUUUUCAUUUGUCACUGGCUCUUAAUGCUUUAUUUUAAAGUGUCUCUCAUAGGCCCCCUUCUUUCAUCUUCUUCCCUUAGGCUCUCUGUCCAGUAACUCUAAGUUCUUACAUGUUCAAGCUCUGUCAUAAUGGAAACUCUGCAGCAGAAUCAGCUGUCAUCUAUCCCGUGUGGCCAAGUGCAGAGGAGAAUGUGAAAACACUCUAGGAGAGAGAGGUUGCAUAUAUCAAUGCAGACUCAUACACAGAAGGCAAUUAUACUCUCAGAGUUGACUGUAUACCCCUUCUUUUACAGUUGGUAUAUAAACUGACAAAAGAGUGGAGGAAUCAGACAUCAUUCAUCUGGAGAAAUGCUGUUGGUUGCUGAGUGCUCAAUCCCGAACUGGAUGAUUUGAUUUAGAGACAUUUGGCCCAUUGGCUUCACCACCAAUUUGUCCAUCUCUGAGUGAAGAUGGGAAUCCUUCUAUUUUCUACAAAUGUUCUUUGGUAAACACGUGAGCCUUGUUCCACCUUUGGAGCCUUGUGGUUAUUUAACGCUUUUGGUGAAAAUCAUGACAGCCACAUAGAUUUUAAGGAGAUAUCCUGUGGGUUAUCAGCUUGUUGCAGAGGACCUCUGGCUGAAAGACAGAAAUUUUGCUUCAAGGUAUUUGAUGUUGACGGUGACGGAGUUCUUUCUAGGGUUGAACUGAGAGACACGUGGUUGCACAUUUAGAGGUCUGGAAGGACAACUGCACCGAUGAUAUCCUGUAAUUACACGUGGAUGUAUCCAACAUUGUAGAAGACCCAUAGAAUGCGCAUGAUACCACAAAGAAUGGCCAUCUUAACUCUAGAAGAAUAUCAGAUCUGGAGUGUGAAAAAUGUUCUUGCCAAUGAGUUUUUGAAUCUACUUUUCCAGGUAUGUUUAAGGUAAAUGACAGAGACCGAGGGCAGUGGUACCAGUAGUUCUACAUCUUUUCCAUUAUGUAGUAGUUAGACAACUAGACUACAAACCAUAUAUUGUCAAAAGAACUGCAUUGACCUGUACACCACCUGCAGAUGGUAAGUUAGAGCGUGCGUGCUUCUCAGAGUCACAAUGUGCAUGAUAGGAAAGUAGAGUAUAGCUGAUAAUGUUUAUCUUAAUAACUCAUGAUAGAGCAGAUUAUAAACUCAUAGAAAAGAAUUUAAAAUGUAAAAGCCAUUAUAAUUUGCUAUUUUUCUUUACUUUUUUUUUUUUUUUUAAGACCCUUCCUAACAAGUAACGCAGUGUGGACAGAGACAUAGAUCAUAAGUUGGCAGCUGUAAAUUUUUCACAAAGUAUACAAUCUUUCCAGUUAGGAGGUUAUAUUAGAUGCAAAGCUGUUUCUUAAUUUUCUUUUUUUUCUUUCUUUCUUUCUUUUUUUUUCUUUUUUUUAAUUUAAUUCUUUAGAAGGCCCAAAAAAGGUUGAAGGAGAAAGGAGGAAAGAAAAACUGUCAGGGGUGAACAUGAAAUCAUAAAACUUGCCAGAUUUUAACUAUUUUCCAAGUUAAAGUAGUUCUCUUUGCUCCAAUUUAAAGAAACAACUUACAGUUUCCCAUUUUUCAUAGUUCUUCAUAAAUAUAUGUUGAUUUAAUAGUAUUUUACAGGGUGUGAGUAGGGACAGACUGGAAGUUCAAGAUUUGUAAAUACUGACAGUAUAUAUAGAAUAGAUAAACAAGUUUAUACUGUAUAGCACAGGGAAAUAUAUUCAAGAUUUUGUAGUAGCUCAUGGUGAAAAAAUAUGAAAACAAAUAUACGUGUAUUCAUAAAGGACUGAAAAAUUGUGCUGUACACCGGAAAUUGACACAACAUUGUAAACGGACUAUAACUCAGUAAAAAAAUAAAAAUAAAGAUAAAACUUUUAGAACACUAUAAAAAAAGUAGUAUUUUAGAUUUUUCUUAUUUUAUUUCCUUUUCUUAUAAAAGCACCCCUAUGAAGAUCAAUAAGACUUGAUAUCUUUAUAUCUAUCAUGAUCCUCCAUUGUAAAUACAGAUUAACCUGCCUGUGACACAGCUAUGUUAGAAUAAAUGAAAAUUGAACUCUUCCUGACAGCUAAUAACUAAUGUAUAUUUAAAGCAUAUGAAAUCUGAUAAGCCUAUGAUACCCAUUUAAAUCAAUCAGUUGCUCUACUGUCAGUUAUCAGCCAGGAUCUAAGUUGAUGUCUUUAUAAAACAUAAAUACAUAUAAAAAUAAUAUAAACCUACUGUAAACAGAAAUGACUUGCUUAGUAAUAUGAAAAUGGUGCAGCUAUUUUAAUCUCAUUUAAAAUGAUGUCCUCAAUUACUUUAAGUUAUCAUUAAUUAUAUAAACAUUUUGACCACUUAAGUUUGUGUCUGAGUCAUCUUGCAGCUCUUACAUAGCAAAGCAUUUUGAACUUUUAUAUUGCCUUUCCUAUUUUCUCAUGCUUAUCAGGGACUUGCAUAGGCACUAUUUUUACUAUGACUCUAUAAACAGAUGUAUGCCUGAGAUUUUCUUUUGUGUCUCAGUGUCUCUAGCAUUAUAUUACUGACAGAUUUUUUGUUGGUUAUCAAUCUAAUUUUUUUCUUGGUAUAUAUAGUCCUUUCAAAUAUAUAUAUAUAUGUAGUCAGUUUACACUGUUGUGUCAAUUUCUGGUGUACAGCACAAUGCUUCAUUCAUACAUGAACAUACAUAUAUUCAUUUUCAUACUCUUUUUCACCAUAAGUUACUACAAAACAGUAUUGGAUAUAGUUCCCUGUGCUAUACAGUAUGAACUUGUUUAUAAAUUGGGAGUUUGAUUUGCAGGUACUAAAUAUUAACAUUACAUUUUAUGAUGCUCACUUUAUCCCAUAUUCAGACAUGUUUUUAAAACUUUAUGUUCACUUAAUAUAUAAGUAAGAAGACUUAAUCUAAAUUGUUUUAUUUUCUGUCUGUUUCUAAAAUAGAAUUAGCUAGUAAAUUCAGUGAUAAAAGCUUGAAUUAUACUUUUAUUUUAUUUGCCAAGAUUCCACUCCUGGCUGACCAUUUUGGGUAUUUAAGUAUAAAGUAAGUAAAUGUCAGUAGAAUUAGGAAACCAUUCCUGUGGUAAUAUUAUUUUCAGUCCUUUCAAAUAAACUCAGUGCCCAAUAUUUUGCAGAGGAAGCAUUCUAAACAUGAUCAGGGUCUUCUAUCUUGUACGUUAGAAAGCGUCAAAUGUUAAACAGUUUGAUAAACAGAAUAGUGCACCACACUGACCCCUACCUAUAUCCAUGCUCUAAUCCUGAAAUCUGUGAAUAUGUUAUUUUACAUGGCAAAGGGGAUUUUGCAGAUGUAUCAGGUUAAGGACUCUGAGACAGGGAGAUUAGCCUGGAUUAUCUACAUGGGCCUAGUCUAACAACAGGAGUCCUUAAAAAUUGAAAAUCUUUCCCAGCUGUGGUCAGAAAGAUAUGACUUUGGAAGAGGGAUUAGAAAGCUGUAAAGCUUUUAGCUUUGAAGAUAGAGGAAGGGCCAUGGGUAAAGAAGUGUGUGUGAACUCUAGAAGCUGAAAAAGACAAGGAAAUACAUUCUUCCUUUGACCUACAGAAGGGCAUAGUGCUGCUGACAUCUUGAUUUUUAGCCAAGUGAUACCUGUUCCUGACGACCUACAGAACCAUAAAACAAUAAGUUUGUGUUGCUUUAAGCUGCAAAAUUUGUGAUAAUUUGUUACAGCAGUGAUAAAUAUAAGUAUAGGGGAGAUAAUCCAAAUUUAUGGAUUGGAGGGCUCAACAUUUUAAAGAUGUCAGUUCCCCUUCAACUGAUUCAAAGGUUUACAUGUGCACAUCAAAAUCCCCAAAAGUUAAUUGUUGUUACUGUUUUUUUGUAGAACUUGACAAGCUGAUUCUAAAUACAUAGAGAAGCGUGAAGGGCCAAUAGCCAAGAUGAUAUUAAAGAACAAUAUUAAAGGACUUAUUAUAAAACAAUAUUAAGUCUAUGUGAUAACUACCUAAAGUUAGACAUAUAGACCAAUGGAACAGUAUUGAAUUAAACCCUGUACCAUACAUGAACAGUAAUUUUAGAUAGAUUAUAAACCUAAUAAAUUUGAAACAUAAAGCAAAGCAUCUGGGGGAGGGUAAAGCUCCGGUGGAAUGUGUGCUUAGCAUGCAUAAGGUCUUGGGUUCAACUCCCAGUACCUCCAUUAAAAUAAAUAACCUAAUCCCCCACCAAAAUAAAGCAUCUAGAAAAUAGUGUAGGAGAUAUUUUAAUGACUUUGAAGUGGCAAAGAGUUCUUAAACAGGACACAGCACUAAACAUAAAAGAAGAGUUUUAAGUUGGACUUCAGUAAAAUUAAGAAUUAUUUUUAUCAAGAGAUACCAUUAAGAAAGUGAAAAGCUAAGCCACACGGUGGGAAAAUAUAUUUGCUAUACCUAUAUCCAACAAAAGACUUGUAUCUAGGGCAUAUAAAGAACAAAAACCAGUGGAGAAAAAGGCAGAACCUUAAUAUUAAAAUGUGCAAAAAAAUUGAACAGGUGCUUCUCACACACACAAAAAAAUCCACAUAAGCUAUGAAAAGGGGCUGACCUCUUUAGUAAUAAUGGAAAUACGUACUAAACCCACACUUGGAACACCAUUAGGCAUCCACUAGAAUAGUUAGUUGUUAAGUGAUACGAAGCAUUGGUGAGGGCAACAAGCAAUGGGGACUCUUACACAUGGCCAGUGGGAAUAUAAAUUCUUACAAAUACUUUGGAAAUAGGCUUUUUGAAUGAAAGUUAUAUAUGUAUAUGUGUGUGUGUAUAUGUGUACACACACACACACACACACACCCUAUUACCAAGGGUAACCCAUGUGUGUACCCUUCAGAAACUUCUACAUCUGAGCACCAAAGGACAUCCAGAAAAUUCUCAUAAUCACUAUUUGUUAUACCCCCAAAUAGAAAAUGACCCAAACACUUUUCAACAAUACAUGACCAUAAGUGGUGGCACAUGCAUACAAGUUGUGUACUUUAAAGCAAUAAAAAUAAAUAUACUAGUUUACAGAAAACACUAGUGGAUGAAUCUUACAUAAUUUUGAGAGGAAAGUAUGGGACCAAAAAUUUCAAAAGCAAAAAAGCCAAUCCAUGGUGGCUGAAUUUAGGAUGGUGAGUCCAUCAAAGGGGUGCCGUAGUAUCUGGGAAGAAACCCAAAGUGGAACAGCAAUGUUCUGUUUCUUGACUGGAUGAAGGUUACAUAGAUGUGUUUACUUUGUGAAAAAUCACUGAGCUGCAUACUUAAGAUGUGUUCACAUUUAAGCAUGUAUUUUAUAUUUGCAUUUUUUAAAAAAAUAUUUGCUUGCAAAAAAAGAUAUCCAAAGCCUAAGUAUUUAUUAGUAGGAGGAUGAAUAAAACAAAUGAUAGUAUAUUCAAAUAAUGGAAUACUAUUCAACAAUAAAAAAGAAUCAACUACUGAUACAAGGAUGAACCUCAAAAGCCUAAUUUAUACAUCUCAUUGUCAGGUAAAUUUUAACUCAGAAGGUAAACAAAACUGUAAACAGGCAUGUGCCCUGGGGGGAGGGGUGCUUUAGCCUUUGUCUCCUCAGACCUGUGCCAUUACUGGCACAUCCCGCAAGAAGAGAGGCAGGGCUCAGCCACAGCUACCAUCUCCUCCUGUGCAUAGUGCCCGGGCGGGGGCGGGGCUGAGGCCUGAAUCUGCACGUGGGGGCUCCACAACCUCCUAGGCAGGACUGAGACUUGUUUAUAGCCUGAGGCAGGGAGGAUCUUUCUACCCUGACACCUCAGAGAACUUGUGCUGCCAAGAGAAACAAGGAGCUCAGAUUUGGCACAGAGCGUAGGCGGGGCUGUUCCGCGGUCUUCCCCGAGCCCACCUACAGACCGCCUACCCGAGGCAGAGCAGGCAGCUGCACAGAGCAGCGGAGUGACCAGCACCAGGAGAGGGCACAGCACCUGACCACGGUGCUGGGAUGGGGUGUGAUCUGCCCACCUGCCUCCCCCUGAGCACAGCAUCUGACUGUGGCAUCAGGAGGGGGAGUGACCUGCCCGCCCACUGGGUAAGAGCUCAGCUUCUGACCUAGUGUUAGGAGGGGGCACAAUCUGCUAGCCAACAGCCACUGAGAGCAGCACAGAUGAGGGCGCCAACCGAAGGCCUAUGAAACAGCAAGCUGAGUUCGCGAAGCAGGACGAAGACACAAAGACUUCUCGAUCAAAUCAUUAAGGGCACACCAUCUCCAGGUUAAGUAGGUAACUGAUACUCCUUAAGCCACGGUGCCAGAGAGAUAUGAGCAAUGUGAAUAAACAGAGAAACCACUCCCAAUGAAAACAUCAAGAGAAAUCCCCUGAAAGCGUGAUCAAGGAAAUAGACAUUGAUGGCCUACUAGAUCAAGAUUUCAAGAAAAUAGUGAUCAAAGUACUGAAGGAACUAAAAGAAAUAGGGUUUAGGGAUAUAAAAUAUGUCAAAAAUGAAAUAGAAACUAUAGAGAAGAACCAAGUAGAAUUAGUAAACUCAUUGGCUGAGAUGAGAGCUGACCUAAAGGCUGUGCAAAGCAGACUAGAAAAUACAGAAGAACAAAUAUGUGAUCUAGAAGACAGGACAACAGGAAGCACCCAAUCAGAACAGCUGAGAGAAAAACAAAUAAAAAACAAUGAAAACAAUAUAUGGGACAUAUGGGGUAAUAUAAAGUGUGCCAAUCUAUGCAUAAUAGGAGUUCCAGAAGGGGAAAAAGAACAAAGGGGAUUGAAAAGGUAUGGGAAGGACUCAUGACUGAAAACUUCCCAAACCUAAAGAAGGAAUCAUAUCCAAGCACAGGAGGCUCAGAGGGUCCCAAACAGGAAGAACCCAAACAGACCCACACCAAGGCACAUCCUAAUCAAGAUAGCCAAAGUCAAGGAUAAAGAAAUGAUCCUAAAGGAAGCAAGAGAAAAACAGAGUGAGUUACAAGGGAACCCCCAUAAGGUUUUCAGCUGAUUUCUCUACACUGUUUACAACAGCUAAGACAUGGAAACAGCCUAAAAUGUCCAUCAACAGAUGACUAGAUAAAGAUGUGGGAUAUUUAUAUGAUGGGAUACUAUUCAGCCACAAAAACUGACAACAUAACGCCAUUUGCAGAGACAUGGAUGCUCAUGGAGAAUGUUAUUCUAGGUGGAGCAGAACAGAAAGAGAAAGAGGAAUAACAUAUGAGAUCACUCAUGUGUGGAAUCUUAAAUAUAUGCAAGAUCUUGUGGUAACUCACAGCAAAAAAAAAAAGUGACAAUGAAUAUAUGUACGUUCAUGUAUAACUGAAAAAUUGUGCUCUACACUGGAAUUUGUCAUAACAUUGUAAAAUGACUAUUACUCAAUAAAAAAUGUUUAAAAAUAAAUAAAAUAAAAUAUAACCGUUAAAAUACUGUAUAAUGAGAGGUGUGAUGUUCUAGUAUCUGUUCUAAGAAGUACGUUAGACACACAUAAUAGCCAAUGGUCAGAAAGAUCACAUGUUAUCAGCUACCACCCCAUGCAAAUUAAUGGCAUUUAGUAGAUAUUCAUAUAUGUGUGUACAUAUAUAAAAUGUGUAUUAGUAUAUAUGUAAAUCAAAUAAAAUAAUUAUAUUAUAAUCUAAUGUAAAAUCAUAUCAGCAAGCACACUGUGCUGACAUAAGUGUCUUGGUGUAAACAGAUUACAAUUUUUCAUUGAGUUUUCAUAAUGGGAUAAUAUUGUGAACCAAGUGGAAAUUGUAAAAAAAUGUUAUCCAAAAAAAAAAAAAAAAUCCUGAC